rfam:Triticum aestivum genome assembly, contig: Triticum_aestivum_CS42_TGACv1_scaffold_393665_5AS
GGAGGUAACAUGUCGNCCAGCACUAAACCACCGGAUCCCAUCAGAACUCCGAAGUUAAGCAUGCUUGGGCGAGAGCAGUACUAGGAUGGGUGACCUCCUGGGAAGUCCUCAUGUUGCAUUCC